rnacentral:rRNA from 1 species
CCUACGGGGGGCAGCAGUGAGGAAUAUUGGUCAAUGGACGAGAGUCUGAACCAGCCAAGUAGCGUGAAGGAUGACUGCCCUAUGGGUUGUAAACUUCUUUUAUAUGGGAAUAAAAUGUUCCACGUGUGGGAUUUUGUAUGUACCAUAUGAAUAAGGAUCGGCUAACUCCGUGCCAGCAGCCGCGGUAAUACGGAGGAUCCGAGCGUUAUCCGGAUUUAUUGGGUUUAAAGGGAGCGUAGGUGGAUUGUUAAGUCAGUUGUGAAAGUUUGCGGCUCAACCGUAAAAUUGCAGUUGAAACUGGCAGUCUUGAUUACAGUAGAGGUGGGCGGAAUUCGUGGUGUAGCGGUGAAAUGCUUAGAUAUCACGAAGAACUCCGAUUGCGAAGGCAGUUCACUGGACUGCAACUGACACUGAGGCUCGAAAGUGUGGGUAUCAAACAGGAUUAGAUACCCGGGUAGUC